rnacentral:rRNA from 2 species
UAGUAACGGCGAGUGAAGCGGCAACAGCUCAAAUUUGAAAUCUGGCUCCUUUGGGGUCCGAGUUGUAAUUUGUAGAGGGUGCUUUGGCGUUGGUUGUGGUCUAAGUUCCUUGGAACAGGACGUCACAGAGGGUGAGAAUCCCGUACGUGGCCGCCAGCCUUCGCCGUGUAAAGCCCCUUCGAUGAGUCGAGUUGUUUGGGAAUGCAGCUCUAAAUGGGAGGUAAAUUUCUUCUAAAGCUAAAUAUUUGCCAGAGACCGAUAGCGCACAAGUAGAGUGAUCGAAAGAUGAAAAGCACUUUGGAAAGAGAGUCAAAAAGCACGUGAAAUUGUUGAAAGGGAAGCGCUUGCAGCUAGACGUGCCUUGGGUUGAUCAGCCGGACUUUUGCCCGGUGCACUCUUCCUUUGGCAGGCCAGCAUCAGUUUGGGCGGCUGGAUAAAGGUCUGUUAAACGUGACUUCCUUCGGGGAGAGCUUAUAGGGCAGACGACAUGCAGCCAGCCUGAACUGAGGUCCGCGCAUCUGCUAGGAUGCUGGCAUAAUAGCUGUAAGCGGCCCGUCUUGAAACACGGACCAAGGAGUCUAACAUCUAUGCGAGUGUUUGGGUGUCAAGCCCGAGCGCGUAAUGAAAGUAAACGGAGGUGGGAACCUUUUAGGUGCACCAUCGACCGAUCUUGAUGUCUUCGGAUGGAUUUGAGUAAGAGCAUAGCUGUUGGGACCCGAAAGAUGGUGAACUAUGCCUGAAUAGGGUGAAGCCAGAGGAAACUCUGGUGGAGGCUCGCAGCGGUUCUGACGUGCAAAUCGAUCGUCAAAUUUGGGCAUAGGGGCGAAAGACUAAUCG